UACGGAGGGGGCGAGCGUUAUUCGGAAUUAUUGGGCGUAAAGGGCGCGUAGGCGGCCCGGUAAGUCAAAGGUGAAAUCCCUCGGCUCAACUGAGGAACUGCCUUUGAAACUGUCGGGCUUGAGGCCGGGAGGGGGUAGCGGAAUUCCCAGUGUAGCGGUGAAAUGCGUAGAUAUUGGGAGGAACACCGGUGGCGAAGGCGGGUCUCUGGACAGUUCCUGACGCUGAGGCACGAAGGCCAGGGGAGCAAACAGG
rnacentral:rRNA from 1 species